UACGUAGGGUGCGAGCGUUAUCCGGAAUUAUUGGGCGUAAAGAGCUCGUAGGCGGUUUGUCGCGUCUGCCGUGAAAGUCCGGGGCUCAACUCCGGAUCUGCGGUGGGUACGGGCAGACUAGAGUGAUGUAGGGGAGACUGGAAUUCCUGGUGUAGCGGUGAAAUGCGCAGAUAUCAGGAGGAACACCGAUGGCGAAGGCGGCCUGCUGGGCAGUUUAGCUGACACUGAGGCGCGACAGCGUGGGGAGCAAACAGG
rnacentral:rRNA from 1 species